rnacentral:misc_RNA from 1 species
CGUGUGAAGAUGCGGUGGCGU